rnacentral:rRNA from 1 species
UACGGAGGAUGCAAGCGUUAUCCGGAAUGAUUGGGCGUAAAGCGUCCGCAGGUGGCUAUGUAAGUCUGCUGUUAAAGAGUGAGGCUCAACCUCAUAAAAGCAGUGGAAACUACAUGGCUAGAGUGCGUUCGGGGUAGAGGGAAUUCCUGGUGUAGCGGUGAAAUGCGUAGAUAUCAGGAAGAACACCGGUGGCGAAAGCGCUCUGCUAGGCCGCAACUGACACUGAGGGACGAAAGCUAGGGGAGCGAAUGGG